UGUGUAGGCGGUUGCUUAAGUUUGGUGUGAAAUCUCCCGGCUUAACUGGGAGGGUGCGCCGAAUACUGAGUGACUAGAGUGCGGGAGAGGAAAGUGGAAUUCCUGGUGUAGCGGUGAAAUGCGUAGAUAUCAGGAGGAACACCGGUGGUGUAGACGGCUUUCUGGACCGUAACUGACGCUGAGACACGAAAGCGUGGGUAGCAAACA
rnacentral:rRNA from 1 species